rnacentral:lncRNA from 1 species
GGUAUAGCUGUGAAUCCUAGCAACAGGAGGAGAGAGAACUGUAUGUUUCUUCAAGUCUUCCAAGUGUUGGUGCCUUCUGGUACAUAAUUUACAGGGAGCAACAGAGACCUUGGAAAGGCCCCUCUUCCCGGUGCACGGGGAAAGGGCACAGAAGGACACAGUUUUCACUGGGUUCGAUCCUGUCGUUGUUGGACGGGAUAGCAGAUUGUAUCUACAUAGCGGUUGUGGAAGGACAGAGAGCCAGAAGGCCAGUGCGAUACUGAGAUACUGCGAAGGAGGGCCUGGAACGCGAUCCUGAACAGCCAGAUGCGACAUGACAGGUAUGGAUUUCACUAAGAUCUCUAAGCAGAAGAACCGAGUCUCAGCUUCAAAGACCAGAUCUGAAUGUGAAGUUCCUAUAUGUGUGAGGAAAGGACCAAGCCUUCAUUUUGGUUCUGUUGCGCGGGAGUCGCGGCCACGCGGUUCCAGUCCAGGGGCUCCUGCAGCAGGAAAGAUCAGCUGUUGGAGAACCCGUGCAAAGCCCUGGGGGAGAGCCAUGGCCGCAAGGUAAUCAGCAGGCAAAGUUAUUACCAUUAUGCUGCUAAUUAAUUCCCAGCUCAUUACGUUUCC